rnacentral:lncRNA from 10 species
AGCAGGAAUAAUUCUCGAGAUAAUUUUGUAUGUUUCCUUUUUUCUCUUUAAGGUAUAUAUUGGGUAGAAGAGCAUUAUGUAUGGAACUUCUCACGAAACAGGGCUGAAGCAGUGCCUACUCAAUAGAACCGGUCAUCGUGCAAAGAAAUGCCACCUGACUCAAAGGCAAAGCCAGAGUGUAGCUUGGAGCAAAGAAGUUAAAAGAAUAUUGGCAGAGAAACAGCUCUGGUGGUCCAGCAGGAGUGAAGAAGAACAGGAAAACAAAUGGCAGUGUCCCUGAGACAGCCACUUCUGGUGGUUGCAACUCACCUGGGGAUUCAGCAACGGGUAUCGACGGAGAGGGCCCUACGUCAUCUGCACCCCUCAAGGAUCUGGAGGUAAGAGGCUCUGGGUGGAGGGGCAGUGACCCUGCAGGCCAAUCCUCCAACCUCCUCCCACAGCAGGGACUGGGUGCCCCUCUGCCAGCUGAGACAGCCCACACACACCCCAGCCCUAAUGAUUGUUCUCUCUACCUCUCCCCCGACUCCUCCUCCACCUCCUCCUCUCUGCAUGUGCCUCAGAGCCCGUCCCAAGAACUAGCAGCUGCCCUGGACUCGAGGUCCGUCAAAAUCAGUCAACUGAAGAACACCAUCAAAUCUUUGAAACAACAGAAGAAACAAGUGGAACAUCAGCUGGAAGAAGAAAAGAAGGCAAACAAUGAGACACAGAAAGCCGAAAGGGAGCUGGAGGUGAGUGGAGGGUGUGAAGGUUUCUCCCGUCCUCCGGGGAAUGUUUCUUUCCUUCUCUUUCAGCACUUGCUUGGCUUUUCUCCCAAAGGUUCAAAUCCAGAGACUGAACAUGCAGAAAGGGAAACUAAGUACGGACCUGUAUCGCACAAAACGCUCGCUCAGAUACUUUGAAGGUGGGAAUCUGGGCACCCUGUCAUCCUUCAACCUGGCACUUUGACAGGUCUUUAGGGGAGUCCUUUGGGACCCAUCUCACAUCUGUCAUUACAGAAGAGUCCAAGGAUCUGGCUGGCCGCCUGCAACAUUCAUUGCAGCGUAAACGAGAGUUACAGCGGGCUCUGUCUGCUGUCACCGCCACACAGAAGAAGGAGGACAGGGUGAGUCUGACCACCUGACC